CUGAACCAGCCAAGUAGCGUGAAGGAUGACUGCCCUAUGGGUUGUAAACUUCUUUUAUACGGGAAUAAAGUGAGGCACGUGUGCCUCUUUGUAUGUACCGUAUGAAUAAGGAUCGGCUAACUCCGUGCCGGCAGCCGCGGUAAUACGGAGGAUCCGAGCGUUAUCCGGAUUUAUUGGGUUUAAAGGGAGCGUAGGCGGACGCUUAAGUCAGUUGUGAAAGUUUGCGG
rnacentral:rRNA from 1 species